UACGGGGGGGGCAAGCGUUGUUCGGAAUUACUGGGCGUAAAGGGCGCGUAGGCGGCUCUGUUAGUCAGGCGUGAAAGUCCUGGGCUCAACCUGGGAACUGCGCUUGAUACGGCAGAGCUAGAGGAUGGAAGAGGGUCGCGGAAUUCCCAGUGUAGAGGUGAAAUUCGUAGAUAUUGGGAAGAACACCGGUGGCGAAGGCGGCGACCUGGUCCAUUACUGACGCUGAGGCGCGACAGCGUGGGGAGCAAACAGG
rnacentral:rRNA from 1 species